UAGUCACACUGUUUGAUCUAUUAAAGACUUACCUCCAUUUUCUUUUUUUGUCUUUUCCAUUCUCUUUUUUGAAAUUUUCCCUGUGCUGUUUAUCCUUUCAGAUUGAUUAAAAGUCUCUUUUAUGACUGCUUUCUGUCAGUCCUCAUUUUCUCAAUCUUUCCCUGACAUUAUCUCUGCUCAUCAGUAUGAAUUGUUUCCGUGGCUCUUCCUUCCAGUAGACAGAACUACCUUAGGAAAAGGGCCUUCUCUCACAGCUUCUGCCUUUAACAGAACAUGGUGUAGAUGUGUUCUGGGUGUAAUGUGUUCAGAGGCCUGUUAGGUAAAUGGGUACAACACAGUGUGGGCAAAGAACCUUUACAAAAGAGUUAAGGAUACAGUUCCCUAGAUGACUACGAUAAGUGUACACUAACUGGUGUACCUUAGGAGUGCUACAAAGUAAACCUAAAUUAGAACAACCAAGACGUGGAGUGGGCCCUGAGGAUGACUCAUAAUAAGAACUAUACUUUUAGUGUUUACUUGGUAUCAGCACCCUGCUGAUAAGGAGGGUCUCCUUCAAUUUUCACUCUUACCUUGAGUCAUUGCCAUUUUAUCAGUGAAGAAAGGUUUAUUUGGAUAAAAUGGAAGCAAUCAGUAAGUAGUAAAAUAGAUAUUCUAGAUCUAUCUGAAUAUCUAAAUGAAGGCUCCUAACCGCUGUGCCUCUAAGUUUGAACAUUUGGGGUUUCUCUACUCCCUCCCCUUGGUAGGACUAGGGGAUGGGAUGGGAUAGGUCUCCAGGCUUACUUUUCUAAGGACAUCAGGAAAUACAUGAAUUUUGUAUCUUUUGGUGUUUGCCCCAUAAGGAAAUGUGGACAAGUAGGCUUGAAGAUCUGUGACCAUUUAAACUUUGUAUACAGAAUACUUUACCAGUAUGACCUUGGGCAAGAUUGUUAGCCACUACAAGGCAGUCUCCUCCUUUGUUGUAAAAGGUGUUAUACUUCGUUAAUAAGGUGAUGUAGUAAGUGAGAAACUAUGCAAAGUACCUACCUUUCCACCUCACUGUGUAAGUGUUCUUUGACUUAGGAGCCGGACCUCUGGUUGGUUCUAAGUCCUAUGAGUGCUCUCACUGUCCCUGAAUGCAAAAUUAGAGUUCCAGUGGCCUUCGAGAGUACUUUUUCCCCUCCCUUUCUAUUAAGGGUGGCUUUUUAAAUUUUCAGAAAUCACUCCAGAAGGACAGGAAUAACUUACAACUUAAUGUUAAUUAAAUUACUGGCUAAGACCUUGAGCUUCUUUCAUGUUGAUAUAAACCAGUGAGGUUGGCGAUGUUCUCUUUCUAUUGUAUGGAGAGAGAGAUUCUGAGUUGGCUAGUCCAAGCUAGUGGUGUGUCUGGAAAAGCCUUAAAUUGAAAUCUAGUCUUUAUUCUGAGUUCUGUUUGUCAUCAUGGGAUUUAGAUGUUAUAACGGUCCAGAGUAAGAAUGGGACAUGUGUUCAUAUAGGGAGAAGAUGGAGACCUAGAUGGAAGAGGAAGCAGGAUGCCAAGGCAGAAUUCACUCAAACUUUAUUCAAAGCCUUGCUUUCAUUUAAAUAAUCUCAUAGGUGGUCUUUGUAGGUUUCUGGCCCUGGUUCAGACUGUUCUAGGAAAAUCAGAGGCACAUUGUUUUAGUUCCAAAAGUCAUUUUGGUAAUCUCUAUUGCUGUACUAGGAACUAAUCCUACUGGGCCUGGGUUAACCCUUCGUAAAAUUCAUCAGUUCAAACUCAAAGGCCUCUAGCACAGAGAGUUUCCUGUCUGGUGGGAACUAUUGCUAUUAAGUGGCAUUUGGUUUUAAAAUGUUACCUUGUCCAAUUUCAAGUUUAUUUUGUUUAAAACAAGUUUUAAAAAUACAAUGUAAGUGCUGGAAAGGACUUAGGCAAACAUAGGUAGUCUAGUCUUUAAUACAACACUGGAGAAUUUGAAAAAGGAAAACAAAAGUAAAGUGUUUGUUGUUUUGUUUUAAGAAAUAACAAUUUACCUAUUUAGUGAGUAUUGAAAUUGAAAGCUUUUUUUUGUUAUGUUUCUGGUUUUGUGUGUGUGUGUGGAUGCAGUGUUAGAAAAUUCUAAUUUUUGCAAUUAAAGUCCUUCUGUGGAAGGUUGUAGUCAUUUAAAAAAUAAAGUCUAUAUUAUCCUGUAGCCUUUCCUGUUGCCCAACAAUUACUAAACACAGUAAAUAGCAAGCACUAUAUUAGAGAGGCUAGUGAUAGGAGCAGGGUGAUACAAAGGAGAAUCAAGUAAUCUCAAGGAAUUUCUAGCCUAAUAGAAUAUCAUUAGACAGUUUGAAGUUUAUAAACUCAGGCAAUAAGAUGGACAGUGCCAACACUUUAGGAGUUAGUAGGCUCCGAUUCUGUUUUCUCCCUUUUGGCCUAACAAAGUCUCGGGAGGUUGUGGAGAUCCUUAUUCUCACAAAUCAUUAAAUUAUUUGACAAAUCCCUGAAUCUGUAGAAAACUGGGUAUAGGGCCUAUAAGAAAAAUGUAAUUGUUAGAAAUUGUUUUCAGGAAUUUAAGGUCAGCUAGGAAUUUGUUCCUAGAAAAAAAUGUAAGGUAAAUUCUUAAUUUGUUACUCAAACUGAGUAAAACACUUUUCCCCUAGAAUUUAUGGAAAAUUUAAUCUGGGCAGCCUGAACCACAACAGGAUUGUCUUUCUCAUUGAGCACAGGUUUUACAGCUUUUGUUAUUUUUUUAUUGUUUGGCCUGGGUGCGCUAGAGUGAUAAUAGAAGUUAAUAAAUCUUCCUCUUAAAAUUUCUUAGACCAGUGGUCAGCUCUCCAGCCACGGUUUGCCACUAUGUUGACUGAUGAAUUUGCCGACCACUGUCUUAAACAAUUGAGGUCUGUCUGGUACAUUUCAGAAGAAAUUUAAGUAAUUGUGCUUGGUUCUCUGUCUCUCCCCCUUCCCUAUCACUCUUCAUCCCUUCCAUUUGUAAAGCUAAAUAUUUAGACACAAACUUUGACAGUUGAGCACAAAAAUUUAGAUUGACUAUUCUUAAACUGAUGGAAUGUUAUAAAAGGAACUCCUUAGAACUGUCUGUUGCAGAGGAUUAUUUGGAACUGACCUGUGGGGGAUUUCUGUACAUCCACCUUUCAAAGUCCCCGUUUUUUCCUCUUACCCACACUUCUAGCACAAUGUGUGUGGAACUGUAGGUUCUUAAUAAAUGCUUGAAUGUUGUAAUCUGUAUCUUCUUGAAUAGCAGAGCUGUCAAGCGUUACUUAACAGUGAAAUGUUUAAGGACUUACUUGGAAAUCAAGAUAUGAGAUUAAUGCACCAAAGCCAUAUCAUUUCUUAAUUGCUUAAGAUCAAUUAUUUCAAAGGAUAUUUUUUAAAAUUUCUCUUAAGGCUGGAAUUUCUAAACUAAUGCCCUUUGUUCAGACCAGCCUCUGAGAAUAAGAAAAAUUAAGGCAAGAUAGUAUUUAAAUUUUUGAUGAAAAGUUGGCAUUUUCUGUAUGUUAAUGUUAGAUAUAAGCUGCUGAACUUUCUGGGGGUAUAGGACUUAACUAAAGCUUCCAACAUCAAUGGUACAAAAUUGUUUGAACUUGCAAUAAAAUUUUGAUGGCCUUUUUUCCCUAUUAAGGUGAAAAAGGAGUCCAUAUAGAUGAAGGAAUUCAUGUAGCCAUGCCUCAAAGCCAGUUUAUUCACCUAGAACUUUUUAAAAAAAUCAUUGGUAGUUAAUGAAGGGACUUAACAAUUGCAUUUAUUAUUUUUUUGCUAGUUUUCUGAUUUAUUAAUACUGAUUUCUUGGAAAAUUGGAAAAUUUCCGAAAAGUAAAUAUUCAGUAUCUUGUUAUCCAACUAUAUAAAGAUAACAGCAGUUAAAUGUUUGGUGCAUUUUUAUCCAGUUUUUUUUCCCCAAUGUAUAAAUAUUAAAAUUAUUUCAUAGUUGAGAUCAUACUGCAUAUGUGGUACUGUAUCUUGCUUUUUUUCAUUUUAACAUGAGCAUUUUCCCAUGGCAUUGAAACUGUCUUUGAAAAAUUGAAAGCAUUUUGGGCUGUCAGCAUAACUGAAAAUGUUUUCUUGGUGUGACACAUGUAUCUUUGUAAUUGAUUUGAUUUAGUGUGCUUUGCUUCAAUAAAAGUUCAGUAUUAAAAUUUCCAGAUUGGGUGGGGAGUGGUCUACUUCAAAUUACCAAAAUCUUCCUAGUAGAAUUUCUUUUUCAAUGAUUGAACUCCCCACCACACUUACACACAGUGCUUUUUGCUUAAAGCCUCUGAACACAACUUUGUGAAAAGAGAGGGCUACCAUUUGAAUAGUGCAAUUCAUUUCAAAUGCAUGAAUAGCAGUUUCUUAGAGUUCAGUUAGGAUGUUAACCACUUUGUUCUAGUUGUGGAGAUUUCAAAUCCCCCCCUUUCUGCUGGAGGCGAGAAAACUGGUGGAGCAGAUCUGCAGAGGGUCCUGAACCUGUCUUGCUGAGUAAAUCAAUAGUAAUAACCGUCUGCCUUCUCUUUCAGGGCUAGCCCUCACAGGGCUGGGUGUGGGGUGUGGUAAGCAAAUAGAGUGUGUAGACCUGGCUUCCAGGCCAGGGGCUGCUGGUGGAGGAAGGAGGUGGAUUGGUUUUGUAUUUGCUCUUUCACUGCCUAUAUGUGACCUAACUAUGUGUUGGUAAGCUGGAAUCACAUGUAAUUCUCAAAACAGGAUUUUCUUAUUAUUCGAAGCAUGAACUUGAUAUGAAAAUAAUAGUUAAUAUGCUGCUUUUAACAAUUUACCAUGUAACCUAGAUUCCUGUAACCUGGACUUGUAACUUUGUUUUAGCUCCAGUGGGAGCUUUCUUUUCAAAGUAUGAUUAAAUUCUAAUUUUUCUCCCUCAUUUCUUCACUAAUCAUUUAAAAUGGAUGCAGAAACUUUGAAACUGAUAAAGUUUAUCUUGUAUUAGGCAAUUUAGACUUUUCUGUCUAAUCAUACUACUUGUUCUAUUGCUUUUUGUCAAUUGAUAUUCCCAUAGCCCAUUUGAAAAAGUGUGUUUUUGUUGGUUGUAUGCCCUUGGGCUAUGCAACUUCAUUUUUAGUUCUGAAGCAUGUCUGGAUUCUCUGUACUUGUAUAGGCCUGAUUGUUCAUGUGGCUUAGCUUUCUAAGCUUAAGGUUUCUAAAGCAUCUUCUAGUAGCUGUCAUUGGUUUAUUAAAUAAAAUUUGGGCUGUUUAAAAUACA